CAAGAAUUUUAACCCAAACCCGACACAGAAAAAAAUCGUGUUGACCCGGACCCGACCCAUUUAAUAAUCGUGUUAAAUUUAACGAUCUAUACCUAUUUAUUUAUAUCGUGUUCGUAUCGAGUAAUCGAGUCGUUUCAAAUUUUGCCAGCUCUAGAUGCUAUGCCCUACGAGUGUGCUAUGACUGUGGAAGAGCAAAAGGAUCUCCGUUGGGCUUCAGGUGGAGUGUCAGUUGCUAUCCGGAUAACAAGUGUUGGGCUUCCUCGGCCCAAACUUUUAACUUUACGGGCAUCUCUGCUUGAUGUUGCUCGCCGUCCCACUUGCACUGGGUCUCAACCAAACUGAAGCCCAAGCCUGAUGCAUUUUUUUUCCCUUAUUAUUUUAUUAUUUUUUCCCCUUGAGUUGAUUUGAGCUUCUUCUAAUUCUCAGUUUUUAAUGCUACCAAUUAAAAUCUUUU
rnacentral:lncRNA from 1 species